GUAAAAAAAAAUCCAAAAAAAAUCGGUGGUUUGAGUCCCACCUCUUGUGUUGAUCCUCUGUACCUGAAAAUAAAAAUAAUUGCAGUUACAGCUACAGAAAUCUUAAUAAGGAAAUGAAUGCUGUGAAUAAAAAGUCGUAAAUUUGCAUCGGAUUUGUGUCCGACAUUGUGCCCACGGUCGUCCACGGGAACGCGUGGACUCCCGGUCCACGCUGACAUGUCCACGGCCGCCCACGCGGCGGAGUGGACAUGUCCACGGCCGCCCACGCGGCGGAGUGGGCGACCCGCCCACGGUGGGCAGAGGGCGUGGGCACAUGCGUGGACGUCCGCGGUGGGCACGUGGAAAAAGCAAAAUCCACGUGGCCUGUUGUGUAUCUGGCAUUUCCUCUGCACUUCUUGUAUUAUUAUUACUUCAUCACGAUGACAAGAAUAACAGUAGAGAGUAUCAAUGAUUGAUAGAACUAAACAACAAUUCGCUGAAGGCAUGUUUACAAAAUGUCAAAACGAGCCAAAGACCAAAAAAUGAAAAGG
rnacentral:lncRNA from 1 species